rnacentral:rRNA from 1 species
UGGGGAAUAUUGCACAAUGGGGAAAGCCCUGAUGCAGUGACGCCGCGUGCAGGAAGAAGGUUUUCGGAUUGUAAACUGCUUUAGACAGGGAAGAAACAAGACAGUACCUGUAGAAUAAGCUCCGGCUAACUACGUGCCAGCAGCCGCGGUAAUACGUAGGGAGCAAGCGUUAUCCGGAUUUAUUGGGUGUAAAGGGUGCGUAGACGGGUAUGCAAGUUGGUUGUGAAAUCCCUCGGCUUAACUGAGGAACUGCAACCAAAACUGUAUAUCUUGAGUACAGGAGAGGUAAGUGGAAUUCCUAGUGUAGCGGUGAAAUGCGUAGAUAUUAGGAGGAACACCAGUGGCGAAGGCGGCUUACUGGACGGUAACUGACGUUGAGGCUCGAAAGCGUGGGGAGCAAACAGGAUUAGAUACC